rnacentral:lncRNA from 1 species
GAGUCCGAGAAGUCAACGGCGCGGUUGCUGCGGCCGCCGCGCUCCCCGGCCCGAGGCGAUGGAGAACGGAGCGGUGUACAGCCCCACUACGGAGGAGGACCCGGGCCCCGCCAGAGGCCCCCGGAGCGGCCUCGCUGCCUACUUUUUCAUGGGCCGGCUCCCAUUGCUCCGGCGCGUUCUCAAGGGCUUGCAUUGCUGUCUCUGCUGGCCUUCAUCUGUGAAGAAGUUGUAUCACAAUGUACUUUAUGUGGAGGACUUUAUUUUUUUGAGUUUGUAAGCUGCAGUGCCUUUCUUCUGAGUCUCCUUAUACUGAUUGUGUAUUGCACUCCAUUUUAUGAGAGAGUUGAUACCACAAAAGUAAAAUCAUCGGAUUUUUAUAUUACUUUGGGAACAGGAUGUGUGUUUUUGUUGGCAUCCAUCAUUUUUGUUUCCACACAUGACAGGACUUCAGCUGAGAUUGCUGCAAUUGUGUUUGGAUUUAUAGCAAGUUUUAUGUUCCUACUUGACUUUAUCACUAUGCUGUAUGAAAAACGACAGGAGUCCCAGCUGAGAAAACCUGAAAAUACCACUAGGGCUGAAGCCCUCACUGAGCCACUUAAUGCCUAAAGACUCUGGGGAGCAGAUGUUACCUAAGGUAGUGACCCUGCAUUGUGGUGCCUGAGCCCUGGCAGAAGCUCUUGUAAAAUUUGUUAAUUGUUUAAACCACUUCUUUUGGAGAGCAAGGGGAAGGUCAAGAAGGCAGUUUUAUCAAUAUUGUGUCAGUCACCACAAAGUAGGCCAGAUAAGUUAAAAAAAAUUUUUUUUUAAAUAAUAAUUGAAACUUAUCUCAAAUGGAGAUUUUGGUGGGAGGAGGAGAAAACAAUUGUUUUUAAAUCACACAGCUCAACGGUUGAUAAAUGAUUCUGUCAUUCUGUUACAGGUCAUUCUUUUACUAGGCUUAGCUUCCAAAUUAUGCUUUAUAGCUGUAUAAACAUCGUGAUUAUAUUCAUCUACUUAGAAAUUGUUUUAUUUUUAAAUUAAUUUGCUUAGCUGUUUGUUUUGAUGCUUAGAUUAUGUUCUGUUAAUGGGAAUUUAACAUAUUUAAGAAACCAAUAUUUAAAAUGUUGGUCUAGGUUUUUUUCCUUAACAUAUAUUACCAGGCUUUACUGUAUUUCACUCAGCCUUAAAUGUUAUAAUAUUUUUGGAUAACGGUUAUUAAUUCUUUGAGACCUUCGUAUAGCCUAUAAAAUGUAUGGGAGAUGUUGGUAUUUUAUGUGUAUAAAAGCAACAAUAUCAGCAACUUCGUGUUUAUACUGCACCUUGGUUGUUGAUGUCAAGUAAAAAAAAGAUUGUUUUGUAACACAUAAAAAAAUGGAAGAAACUGAUACCACACCUAAGGACCAAAGAUAAGAAAGACUUUUUGCCCAAGACAGUGAAAGUAAUUAUAAAAACAAGCUUUGACCACUUACCAAGUAUCUGAAGAGAUGAGUUCAUACUAUGAUUUAGAAAGUGGUUCAAUUCCCCUGUUGGCAUAUGAUUAUUUUUACUAAAAUUAAUACAGCUCUGUGGGUCUUCCUUAGUGUUUUCUUUGAAGCCAAUCUGUUUUUUUUAGGACACCAGCCUUUGGUUUUUCAUCUGUUCGAGAUGCCUCUUCUCUGUCUCCUUAUCAGAUAGAAAUGGAGUCAUGUGCUGCUGCUUCAUCUAGCAGAGGUUGGCCUCUGGCUCUGACACUUUUUGUCAGUUGUCUUUAGGUGGUCCUGAAUCUUGGGCCCUUUUGAUUGUGAAUACUGUGUAGCAGGAUCUUGAGAGUCCUUGUUCUUACAUAGGCAUUGCUCUAGUUUGUCUUUG